UGAAAUUAUACACCAGUUUAUUCAAAUCAAUGUACAAAUUGAAUAUUAUCACAUUUAUUUUGUUCAUUGGAAAAGACAAUAUGUCAUUUCAGUUUAUUUUCAUUUUUAAACACCAAUAUUUAAGUCUUAAAAGGAAAUAAAAGUUUACAAUAAUGAUGAAUGUCAAACUUAAAGGUGUUUGUUAUCUGGCUGGGCAUGGUGGCUCAUGCCUGCAAUCUCAGAGGUUUGGGAGGCCGAGACAGGAGAACCAUUUGAGACCAAAAUUUGGGAACAGCCUGGGCUCAAGCAAUCCUCCCACCUCGGCCUCCCAAACUGCUGGAAUUACAGGCAUGAGUUACCACAUCUGGCCCACAUCCUCUUUCUAACAGCCAUGAUUUCUUUUCAGACAACAACAUAUUUAUAAUUCAUUUGCAACACUUCAACCAAACUAGACAUACAGAGGAUGUGGGAGACAUAGGUUUCUCA
rnacentral:lncRNA from 1 species